GAGUUUGAUCCUGGCUCAGGAUGAACGCUGACAGAAUGCUUAACACAUGCAAGUCUACUUGAAUUUGGGUUUUUAACUUAGGUUUGGGUGGCGGACGGGUGAGUAACGCGUAAAGAACUUGCCUCACAGCUAGGGACAACAUUUAGAAAUGAAUGCUAAUACCUAAUAUUAUGAUAAUAGGGCAUCCUAUAAUUAUGAAAGCUAUAUGCGCUGUGAGAGAGCUUUGCGUCCCAUUAGCUAGUUGGAGAGGUAACGGCUCACCAAGGCGAUGAUGGGUAGCCGGCCUGAGAGGGUGAUCGGCCACAAGGGGACUGAGACACGGCCCUUACUCCUACGGGAGGCAGCAGUGGGGAAUAUUGGACAAUGGACCGAGAGUCUGAUCCAGCAAUUCUGUGUGCACGAUGAAGUUUUUCGGAAUGUAAAGUGCUUUCAGUUGGGAAGAAAAAAAUGACGGUACCAACAGAAGAAGUGACGGCUAAAUACGUGCCAGCAGCCGCGGUAAUACGUAUGUCACGAGCGUUAUCCGGAUUUAUUGGGCGUAAAGCGCGUCUAGGUGGUUAUGUAAGUCUGAUGUGAAAAUGCAGGGCUCAACUCUGUAUUGCGUUGGAAACUGUAUAACUAGAGUACUGGAGAGGUAAGCGGAACUACAAGUGUAGAGGUGAAAUUCGUAGAUAUUUGUAGGAAUGCCGAUGGGGAAGCCAGCUUACUGGACAGAUACUGACGCUGAAGCGCGAAAGCGUGGGUAGCAAACAGGAUUAGAUACCCUGGUAGUCCACGCUGUAAACGAUGAUUACUAGGUGUUGGGGGUCGAACCUCAGCGCCCAAGCAAACGCGAUAAGUAAUCCGCCUGGGGAGUACGUACGCAAGUAUGAAACUCAAAGGAAUUGACGGGGACCCGCACAAGCGGUGGAGCAUGUGGUUUAA
rnacentral:rRNA from 1 species